GGUUAAGCGACUAAGCGUACACGGUGGAUGCCCUGGCAGUCAGAGGCGAUGAAGGACGUGCUAAUCUGCGAUAAGCGUCGGUAAGGUGAUAUGAACCGUUAUAACCGGCGAUUUCCGAAUGGGGAAACCCAGUGUGUUUCGACACACUAUCAUUAACUGAAUCCAUAGGUUAAUGAGGCGAACCGGGGGAACUGAAACAUCUAAGUACCCCGAGGAAAAGAAAUCAACCGAGAUUCCCCCAGUAGCGGCGAGCGAACGGGGAGCAGCCCAGAGCCUGAAUCAGUGUGUGUGUUAGUGGAAGCGUCUGGAAAGGCGCGCGAUACAGGGUGACAGCCCCGUACACAAAAAUGCACAUACUGUGAGCUCGAUGAGUAGGGCGGGACACGUGGUAUCCUGUCUGAAUAUGGGGGGACCAUCCUCCAAGGCUAAAUACUCCUGACUGACCGAUAGUGAACCAGUACCGUGAGGGAAAGGCGAAAAGAACCCCGGCGAGGGGAGUGAAAAAGAACCUGAAACCGUGUACGUACAAGCAGUGGGAGCACGCUUAGGCGUGUGACUGCGUACCUUUUGUAUAAUGGGUCAGCGACUUAUAUUCUGUAGCAAGGUUAACCGAAUAGGGGAGCCGAAGGGAAACCGAGUCUUAACUGGGCGUUAAGUUGCAGGGUAUAGACCCGAAACCCGGUGAUCUAGCCAUGGGCAGGUUGAAGGUUGGGUAACACUAACUGGAGGACCGAACCGACUAAUGUUGAAAAAUUAGCGGAUGACUUGUGGCUGGGGGUGAAAGGCCAAUCAAACCGGGAGAUAGCUGGUUCUCCCCGAAAGCUAUUUAGGUAGCGCCUCGUGAAUUCAUCUCCGGGGGUAGAGCACUGUUUCGGCAAGGGGGUCAUCCCGACUUACCAACCCGAUGCAAACUGCGAAUACCGGAGAAUGUUAUCACGGGAGACACACGGCGGGUGCUAACGUCCGUCGUGAAGAGGGAAACAACCCAGACCGCCAGCUAAGGUCCCAAAGUCAUGGUUAAGUGGGAAACGAUGUGGGAAGGCCCAGACAGCCAGGAUGUUGGCUUAGAAGCAGCCAUCAUUUAAAGAAAGCGUAAUAGCUCACUGGUCGAGUCGGCCUGCGCGGAAGAUGUAACGGGGCUAAACCAUGCACCGAAGCUGCGGCAGCGACGCUUAUGCGUUGUUGGGUAGGGGAGCGUUCUGUAAGCCUGUGAAGGUGUACUGUGAGGUAUGCUGGAGGUAUCAGAAGUGCGAAUGCUGACAUAAGUAACGAUAAAGCGGGUGAAAAGCCCGCUCGCCGGAAGACCAAGGGUUCCUGUCCAACGUUAAUCGGGGCAGGGUGAGUCGACCCCUAAGGCGAGGCCGAAAGGCGUAGUCGAUGGGAAACAGGUUAAUAUUCCUGUACUUGGUGUUACUGCGAAGGGGGGACGGAGAAGGCUAUGUUGGCCGGGCGACGGUUGUCCCGGUUUAAGCGUGUAGGCUGGUUUUCCAGGCAAAUCCGGAAAAUCAAGGCUGAGGCGUGAUGACGAGGCACUACGGUGCUGAAGCAACAAAUGCCCUGCUUCCAGGAAAAGCCUCUAAGCAUCAGGUAACAUCAAAUCGUACCCCAAACCGACACAGGUGGUCAGGUAGAGAAUACCAAGGCGCUUGAGAGAACUCGGGUGAAGGAACUAGGCAAAAUGGUGCCGUAACUUCGGGAGAAGGCACGCUGAUAUGUAGGUGAAGUCCCUCGCGGAUGGAGCUGAAAUCAGUCGAAGAUACCAGCUGGCUGCAACUGUUUAUUAAAAACACAGCACUGUGCAAACACGAAAGUGGACGUAUACGGUGUGACGCCUGCCCGGUGCCGGAAGGUUAAUUGAUGGGGUCAGCGCAAGCGAAGCUCUUGAUCGAAGCCCCGGUAAACGGCGGCCGUAACUAUAACGGUCCUAAGGUAGCGAAAUUCCUUGUCGGGUAAGUUCCGACCUGCACGAAUGGCGUAAUGAUGGCCAGGCUGUCUCCACCCGAGACUCAGUGAAAUUGAACUCGCUGUGAAGAUGCAGUGUACCCGCGGCAAGACGGAAAGACCCCGUGAACCUUUACUAUAGCUUGACACUGAACAUUGAGCCUUGAUGUGUAGGAUAGGUGGGAGGCUUUGAAGUGUGGACGCCAGUCUGCAUGGAGCCGACCUUGAAAUACCACCCUUUAAUGUUUGAUGUUCUAACGUUGACCCGUAAUCCGGGUUGCGGACAGUGUCUGGUGGGUAGUUUGACUGGGGCGGUCUCCUCCUAAAGAGUAACGGAGGAGCACGAAGGUUGGCUAAUCCUGGUCGGACAUCAGGAGGUUAGUGCAAUGGCAUAAGCCAGCUUGACUGCGAGCGUGACGGCGCGAGCAGGUGCGAAAGCAGGUCAUAGUGAUCCGGUGGUUCUGAAUGGAAGGGCCAUCGCUCAACGGAUAAAAGGUACUCCGGGGAUAACAGGCUGAUACCGCCCAAGAGUUCAUAUCGACGGCGGUGUUUGGCACCUCGAUGUCGGCUCAUCACAUCCUGGGGCUGAAGUAGGUCCCAAGGGUAUGGCUGUUCGCCAUUUAAAGUGGUACGCGAGCUGGGUUUAGAACGUCGUGAGACAGUUCGGUCCCUAUCUGCCGUGGGCGCUGGAGAACUGAGGGGGGCUGCUCCUAGUACGAGAGGACCGGAGUGGACGCAUCACUGGUGUUCGGGUUGUCAUGCCAAUGGCACUGCCCGGUAGCUAAAUGCGGAAGAGAUAAGUGCUGAAAGCAUCUAAGCACGAAACUUGCCCCGAGAUGAGUUCUCCCUGACUCCUUGAGAGUCCUGAAGGAACGUUGAAGACGACGACGUUGAUAGGCCGGGUGUGUAAGCGCAGCGAUGCGUUGAGCUAACCGGUACUAAUGAACCGUGAGGCUUAACCUU
rnacentral:rRNA from 1 species